ensembl:lncRNA
AGAGCGUGCACGUCAUCUGGUAAACAAGUUCUGGAGCGACGUGAACGUUAACAGGAUGGCUGCCACUACAUUGAUGUGAGGGACUACAAAUCUAUUCUCCACUCGUGAAAUUGGAGUACAUGAUGCUCUGCGCUGUGACUGCAUAUUAAAUAGAGGGUUCCAGUUCAUGGCAGGCUUGAACAUCAGUGGUCCCUGCAUUGUUGCUGAACAUCCAGAUGGGUUUCCUCCCAUCUGAGCAUCAUGGUUUGAGUCUUAUACCACGGUUGCAUAACUUGUACUUAUGUUACAGAGCACAAGAACUGAUGAUCUUUCUUUUUUUCACAUCCAGUCUGCUGUCAUUAAAAAUAAACACUACUUUAGUAAAUGAAAAAAACAUGUUGAGUUAACUCCUUAAGAAGUCAGACAACUGUAAAACUGAUGAUUAGCUUGACUUCUAGCUGGCACAGAAUUGGGAGUUAAGUCAAAACUAUCAUGUUGCAGUUUUUCUGUAAUAGAGUCCUGUUACAAAUGCAGCAUGCAGUCUAAACAUGGAAACCUUCUGUUCUGCAGUUAUCAGCUUUGAAAAGCCAUUCUCAGGGCUUUAUUCAACCAUUUAAAUGGCCUGUUCUGGCUCAAGGGCCACAUGUUUGAAGUGUGAUGCUAGACUGUGAAAUAAGAGGAGUUUGCCAACCUUAAGACUAAUAAAGGCACAACAACAGAUGGG